AGUUUGAUCCUGGCUCAGGAUGAACACUAGCUACAGGCUUAACACAUGCAAGUCGAGGGGAAACGAUAGAGAAAGCUUGCUUUUUCUAGGCGUCGACCGGCGCACGGGUGAGUAACGCGUAUCCAACCUGCCCACCACUUGGGGAUAACCUUGCGAAAGUAAGACUAAUACCCAAUGAUAUCUCUAGAAGACAUCUGAAGGAGAUUAAAGAUUCAUCGGUGAUGGAUGGGGAUGCGUCUGAUUAGCUUGUUGGCGGGGUAACGGCCCACCAAGGCGACGAUCAGUAGGGGUUCUGAGAGGAAGGUCCCCCACAUUGGAACUGAGACACGGUCCAAACUCCUACGGGAGGCAGCAGUGAGGAAUAUUGGUCAAUGGGCGAGAGCCUGAACCAGCCAAGUAGCGUGCAGGAUGACGGCCCUAUGGGUUGUAAACUGCUUUUAUAAGGGAAUAAAGUGAGCCUCGUGAGGCUUUUUGCAUGUACCUUAUGAAUAAGGACCGGCUAAUUCCGUGCCAGCAGCCGCGGUAAUACGGAAGGUCCGGGCGUUAUCCGGAUUUAUUGGGUUUAAAGGGAGCGUAGGCCGGAGAUUAAGCGUGUUGUGAAAUGUAGAUGCUCAACAUCUGCACUGCAGCGCGAACUGGUUUCCUUGAGUACGCACAAAGUGGGCGGAAUUCGUGGUGUAGCGGUGAAAUGCUUAGAUAUCACGAAGAACUCCGAUUGCGAAGGCAGCUCACUGGAGCGCAACUGACGCUGAAGCUCGAAAGUGCGGGUAUCGAACAGGAUUAGAUACCCUGGUAGUCCGCACGGUAAACGAUGGAUGCCCGCUGUUGGUCUGAAUAGGUCAGCGGCCAAGCGAAAGCAUUAAGCAUCCCACCUGGGGAGUACGCCGGCAACGGUGAAACUCAAAGGAAUUGACGGA
rnacentral:rRNA from 1 species